UUCCUUGCGCCGGUGAUGGUAAUUUUCGUC
rnacentral:piRNA from 1 species